GUUUGAGCCCGCUCAAUUCAAACACAUUCGCUUACUUUUCUCCCUUCCACAUUUUAAACAAUUUGCAAAAUAAUUGAACAAAUUCAAUUGUUUUUGCACCGGUGCAUAAUGUCUGUACCUCCUCAUCCACCCGUGUGUUCCAAAUGCCACCAGAUAAAUCAUACAAAGUACAAUUGCCCAGAAGGUCGUGAAUUGAUAAACCUGGACCCACAAUAUAACGUCCAACGUAUGAUUAAUUGAUAAUUAAAUUGGAAGUAAAGGAAGUGUAGUGCAAAGCGUUUGAUUCACAAGAGAUAUUGGGUUUUGUUUGGUUUUGAAGAAGUGAAUGAAGCUGUGACUUUCUUCGGAGAAAAGGAGACCCAACGUCAACUAGAAGAAAGAACGGGCGACGUUAAUUAUAUAUUGUUUCAAACAGCUAUUGAAUAUGCAUAGGUUAUAUCAUUAUACUUACGUGUGUCUCAAAUAGAAAUUUCUUCAGGUUGACCGUCAUUCUGGGAACGACAAUGUCUAAAUCGAAAGGAUCUAUAACUCCCGUUAAGUUAGCCACAAGAGUUUUAUAUGUGUCGUUUUCGGAGAGUGUGGAAUGGAACCAUUGA